GGUCGCUUAGCUCAGUUGGUUAGAGCGUGGUGCUAAUAAGCUCCCUUGAUAACGCCAAGGUCGCAGGUUCGACCCCUGCAGUGAUCA
rfam:Pyronema omphalodes CBS 100304, CBS100304, WGS project CATG01000000 data, contig: Pcon_v1_contig1619